rnacentral:tRNA from 1 species
AUUUAAAUAGUUUAUUUAAAAAUAUUGGUUUGUGGUGCCAAAGAUGUAAAAAUUUACUUUGAAUA